rnacentral:lncRNA from 1 species
UAUGCAGAGAAGCAAUAGAAUGUUUGGAUGCCUGAUAGUCAGUGUUUAUUUUCAUGCACCUGUCGAAGGUGAGUCUAGAUGUGUGGAUGCCUGAUAGUCAGUGUUUAUUGCAACCCACCUCCAGCUGAGCCAGUUGGAGUCUGCAGUCAAGGAGCACAGCUCUGACAUGGAGCAGAAGCUCCUCUUCCUGCAGGAGGCAACAGAGAGGUCCGAGAGGGAGUUGAGUGAACGCAACAAGCAGCUGAGCCAGUUGGAGUCCGCAGUCAAGGAGCACAGCUCUGACAUGGAGCAGAAGCUCCUCUUCCUGCAGGAGGCAACAGAGAGGUCCGAGAGGGAGUUGAGUGAACGCAACAAGCAGGUGGCGUUCCUUAGCGAGCGGCUAGAGCUGGUCAAGGCCCAACUGCAAGGGAAGGAGACCCUGGAGGAGGAGGCCAUGUGGCAGGACCAGCAGCUGCGGGAGUGCAGGGAGCAGCUCCAGGGGACGGCGCAGGGCCUGCAGGAGAUGCGCAGCCGCUGUGAGACUCUCGUCGUGCAGUUGGAGGAGAGCACCGUCCUGGGCAGAGAGAAGGAGAGCCAGGUGGGGCUCCUGGAGGAGGAGCUGGCCAGGGUUGCGGAGCAGGCUGCCCAAACUGAAGACAGGCUGCAGGACGCCAUGGCCACCCUCACCCUGGAGCUAGAGGCAGUGUGGAGAAAGCACCAGGCAGAGCUGGCUGUGCUGCAGGACAGCCAGGCGGAGAUGAUGAAGGCCUCGGAGUGUGUCGCCAACACGCUGCGCAGCUCCCAGGAGCUCCUGAGCCGGGAGCUGCAGCACACACGGGUCCAGCUGGACGAGGCCCAGCACAAGGCCGCCGCCCU